UCUGCCCUUUGCCUUAGAUGAAGACACAGGAGAUGAGAGGCUGUAAAUCUAAGGUGAAAGGACGAAUGGUUGCAGGACAAUGGAGAGUGUUGUCACUAAUUUAAAUAUGUCUGCUAUUUAUACUGUCUUACAUGCAGUGACCAAGGAACAGCAUUCAGAUCUUCCAUGGGAAUAUCUCUUCCAGCCCCUAAGCCAAAUUGCUGCUCAUGGAAAUGAGAAGCACAGAAGCUCCACAACUCCUUGGCCCCAUUAAUACUUACCUCAGACAAUGGCCUGAAGGGAUCAAGGAUCUCUGAUUUGUACUAACAAUAUCUGCGUAAUCUCCAAGAGAACCUUUGACAUGACCACCAGAGGAAGGUCCUGCAACCACACACAUCCUGGAAAAAGAGCUCCCAUGCUGCUGAGAGAUGAAUAUUUACAUCAUGGAAAGUUGUUCAGCUUUCCUCAGACCCAAGUCAUGCCAUCAGGUAGAUGGCAGCUGGCAGUAACCCACAUCAGCAAAAAUCAGAAAAGCUGCAGCAGGGAUCACAGAAAAGAGCUUGGACCAGCACAGCACCAGGGCAGAUGGAUAUCAGCUACCACAGGUAAAUCAUCUUGGAAGGAAAAAAUUGAUUUUAUAGGUGAAUAGUCCAAGUUUCUUAGCCUGGAAAAUGCGUAAAUGAGGAUGAGCUGUUAACAACCAUUGCCAGCUCUGCAACAGGCUGUGGCUGGCUUCCCAGGAGCUGGGCAGACUGGCCUGUACAGGCAGUACAGCCAAAAGCCCUUUGCUACAGAAACAGGGCAGCAAGCCAUGCUGGAGGCCAGCACAGACUGACCUGGCCUAAGAAACAGAGCAAACCCCAGGCCUGUGAGCAAGGCUUCCCACAUGGCCUGUUUACUGACCUGCACCAGCAUGGCAAAGCAAAGCUUUGCACUCA